rnacentral:misc_RNA from 1 species
UCCGGUUUAACACCGGCAGUCCCGCUAGAGUGCCCAGCAUAACCUGGUAGCAACUAGAGGCAGGGGUUUCGCUCGUUAGAGGACUUAACCCGACACUUCACAGCACGAGCUGACGACAGCCAUGCAGCACCUGUGCACGUUCCACCCAGAGGGUGUGGCUUCCUUUUCGGGAAGUUAAUCCGUGCAUGUCAAGCCUUGGAUAAGGUUCUUCGCGUUGCUUCGAAUUGAGCCACAUGCUCCACCGCUUGUGUGAGCCCCCGUCAAUUCCUUUGAGUUUUAGCCUUGCGACCGUACUCCCCAGGCGGUGCACUAAUUAGUUUUCCUUCGACCCCGAUAAUGUCAGAAUUUCCGGGGUCUAGUGCACAUCGUUUACAGCUAGGACUAC